GUAAAGGCAGCUAAUUAAGCUCUU
rnacentral:tRNA from 1 species